GUUCCCCUUCUAGUUUCCACAUCAGCAGGAACCCGAGCUCUUUUAUCUCCUUGCUUUGGUGCAUCCAUCCUCACACUCCUUCUCCGUGAGCAGCUGCCAGUCGGAAUUAAAGGUGACUACCCGCGCCAGGUUGUUGUGGUAGUAGCUGUUGUCCAACAAGUCCCUGGUCCGGCGCAGCUUGCCGAGGAAGGGCGGGAACGCAGCCGCCACGGCGCGCGGGUCCUCGUCGCGCACGUUGUUGGGCACCACGGGGUCGGCUCCGGGCCCCUCCGCGCCGCACUUGGCCGACAGCAGGUCCCGGUACGCCGGCACGAUCUGGGCCGGCGGCGCCGACAGGCGGGCGCGGAACGAGGAGCAGUGGCCGACGCCGACGGCGUGCGCGCCCGACAGGAUCACUAGCUCCUCCACCGUGAAGUUCUUCCGGCGGAAGUUGCGGACCAGCUCGGCCACGGUGAAGGUGGAGUCCGGCAGGUCGCGCUGCGCGUCGGCGGCGCGGGAGACCACGCCGUCCAGCCGCCCCGCGGGCGCGGCGAAGCGCACGCGCCCGUUGCUCAGGAUGCUCGACGCGUCCCGCGCCGCGUACACCAGGAUGUCCGCGCACGACACCGUGCCGGGGCACCGCUCCUCCAGCGCCGCCUUGAUGUCGUCGAUCACGUCGAACGCCGCCAGCCCGAUGUUGAUCGGCGCCGUCUUCUCUGUCUCCGGGUUGGCCGGCGUCGGGUCAAGGAGAACCGACGCGUCGCACCCCUGCAUGCACGUUCUUUCAGUUGAUUUAUUGUGAAAAUGACAUCUCCGCCACCCUUGAGGCCUUGACGAAGAAAGAAUCAACCCAACUGAUGAAUUGAAGAACCCUAUAGGUGUAUCAUCAUUCAUCAGUACACGUACUGGUGCAAUGCAAUAAAACAGCUCGACUAUAAGCUUAUUAGUAGCUAUUAGUGUAACAACCUGUCGCUGUUGCUGCUGCUGUAGACUGACGUGUCAAGUGUGCAUGGCAAGUCAUUUCGUCAUCUCGGGACUGAUACGUACAGAUGGAGCUUUUAAUUAUACUACUACUCAAACACGCUCCCCGGCCCAUCGG
rnacentral:misc_RNA from 1 species